AUGAUGGCGAAUAUUCGGCAGCGACGGCAUACCGUGCACAAUUUCUUGGCCAUAUCGACUCCUCCCAAAUGCAAAUUUUUUGCUUGGUUGGCCAUCAACAAUAGGAUUUGGACGGCUGACCGGCUUCAGCGCAGGGGCUGGCCAAAAUGUAACCUUUGCCUGCUAUGCAAACAAAUGCCAGAAUCAGGAGCUCAUCUUCUCUUCCAAUGUCGUUACACCGUUAGAGUUUGGGGAAUGAUCAAAACAUGGCUUGGUUUACAUGAUGUCCAUCCUACAGAUUGGGGAGGCAUGGUUUCCGUCUAG
rnacentral:rRNA from 1 species